AUUGAACGCUGGCGGCAGGCCUAACACAUGCAAGUCGAGCGGAUGAAGGGAGCUUGCUCCUGGAUUCAGCGGCGGACGGGUGAGUAAUGCCUAGGAAUCUGCCUGGUAGUGGGGGAUAACGUCCGGAAACGGGCGCUAAUACCGCAUACGUCCUGAGGGAGAAAGUGGGGGAUCUUCGGACCUCACGCUAUCAGAUGUGCCUAGGUGGGAUUAGCUAGUUGGUGGGGUAAAGGCCUACCAAGGCGACGAUCCGUAACUGGUCUGAGAGGGUGAUCGGUCAAACGGGGACUGAGACAAGGUCCAGACUCAUACGGGAGGCAGCAGUAGGGAAUCUUCAGCAAUGGGCGAAAGCAUGAAGGAGCAACGCUGCGGGAGUGAAGAAGGUAUGCGGAUCGUAAAGUUCUGUUAUUAGGGAAGAAGAAAGGGGUAGGAAACAAUUCACGACGUGACGGUACCUAAUCAGAAAGCCACGGCGAACUACGUG
rnacentral:rRNA from 1 species